UAAAAUCUCUCUAAGUUCUUAACCCUAGAAUUUUAUCAUCGCCUCUACUAUGCCAUUUUAUCGCCUCCACCACAUCCAUCCAGUUUUUUGUUCCGCACCUGCUCUUCAGUUACUCAUUUACUCUAUAUUUUCCCUCUUCUUCACCCUAAUGAUUUGGUUGACUGCAACAACUCUUUCUCUAUCUAUCUAUCUCAAUGGUUGAUUUCGUCUGCUUUACAUUUGAUACGGCAAAUAUCUGAAAUUUGGUAUAGAAAUGGCAAGCCAAGCUUCAACCACAGGAUUCAAAAUCAUCAAUAAUCAGAACCAACAAGAGGUGUUGAGAUUUAGAUCUAUUUGUUUUCCUUACUUUAAAGGUGAGUUUCUGAGAUGAUGAAAAUCAGAUCUAAAAAAUAUGCUAUCAGGUCGCAGCAGUCUGUUUGGUAAUUCUGUCCAGUGAGUUUAAAAGAAGCGUGAUGUGUGUUCCAAAAUUGAAGUAGCUGUAUCGAUGGUGUUAAAAUUGAAAAGUGUGUUUUGAUGAGAUUGUGAUUUAUUUAUUCAAAGAAACUAGAUUGUAUUUUAUUUAAUUUUUGGUAAACAGAUUGUAAUGUUUUUGAAUAAUAAAUGAUAUUGUAAAUUAAAUCUAGUUGAUAAUAAAUUAAAUUAAUUUUAG